rnacentral:rRNA from 1 species
ACUCAAAGGAAUUGACGGGGGCCCGCACAAGCGGUGGAGCAUGUGGUUUAAUUCGAUGCAACGCGAAAAACCUUACCUACCCUUGACAUGUCUGGAAGCCUGAAGAGAUUCGGGUGUGCCCGCGAGGGAACCAGAACACAGGUGCUGCAUGGCUGUCGUCAGCUCGUGUCGUGAGAUGUUGGGUUAAGUCCCGUAACGAGCGCAACCCCUAUUGUUAGUUGCCAGCGAGUAAAGUUGGGCACUCUAAUGAGACUGCCGGUGAUAAACCGGAGGAAGGUGGGGAUGAUGUCAAGUCAUCAUGGCCCUUAUGGGUAGGGCUACACACGUGCUACAAUGGCCGGUACAAAGGGAAGCGAAGUCGCGAGAUGGAGCGGAUCCUAACAAGCCGGUCGUAGUCCGGAUUGGAGUCUGCAACUCGACUCCAUGAAGUCGGAAUCGCUAGUAAUCGUGGAUCAGCAUGCCACGGUGAAUACGUUCCCGGGCCUUGCACACACCGCCCGU